CUCUGCCUGAAAUUUUUCGAGAUUUUGAGGCUUUGUCGUGGCGUGAAAAAAAAAAAAAAAAAAAAAAAAAAAACACUGGGAGCUCUCUUUGUAUCCGAAACAUUUUUCGGAUUAAACUUCGAAGCGGCAAGUCGUUUGUCGCUCUGCCAAUUUACCAGCGGCUUGGAUAGAGAAAAAGGUUCAUUCUGUCGUAGCAGGAAAAAAUCACCGCCUUGUGUUGUUUGACUUUUGCUUUUAAGCGAAAAUCAAGGGAUUUCAUUAUUCAAGUUUGGGGAUAUAUAGAGUUCAUUUUUUUUUGGUAAUUUUCUUUUACGAGAUUUUUGUAAUUUUUUCGUCUGUUUGGUCGCUGAGAAAAAGGUUUAAAAUGGAAUAAUUUUGCCAACAACAUUGAUGAUCAACAGCUUCAGCUUCAACUGACUAUUUCUUCGAAAGGCUGGUUUUAUCAGUACGGUAUUCAUGAAGGGGGUUUAAAAAUAGGUCGCGAAAAACUGAAAGAAAAGAAAAGAAAAGAAGAAUUGUACUAAUCUGAAAGCACACAAGGAAGACGGGAAAAGGAGAGUGACAGGGCGUGUUGGUGGUGGCAGCUAGCUAGUAGAGACUCAAAAGAGACAAAGGCCCAACAAGAGUCGGUUUUUGUUUUUGGGAUAGAAAAGGAAAAGAGAAGGAAAGAUGUUUACAUGUAUAGCAUGUACGAAACAAAUGGCAGACGAUGGUGGAGAGGAAGGAGGAGGAGCGCGUGGCAGUGGUACCCCAAGUACAAAAGAAGCCGUCAAAAGCCUGACGACGCAGAUCAAAGACAUGGCACUGAAAUUCUCUGGUGCUUACAAGCAGUGCAAGCCAUGCACAGGGUCAAGCAGCUACAAGAAAGGGCAGAGACCUUAUCCAGACUUUGAUACUGCUUCAGAAGGUGGUCCAUACCCUUAUAUGGGAGGUGCAAGCUCAAGUUCUACACCAGCAUGGGACUUCACUAGCUCAAGUCAUCACCCAGGUAGAUCAGACACAAGAUUUACUGGGUUUAUGGGUGGUGAUCGGACUCCUGGUGGAGUGUCUGUAUCUGCCCAGUCUUGUGAUGUUGUGUUAGAGGACGAGGACGAGCCUAAGGAGUGGAUGGCACAGGUGGAGCCAGGCGUGCACAUUACUUUCGUGUCCCUUCCUAACGGUGGAAAUGACCUGAAACGAAUUCGCUUCAGCCGAGAGAUGUUUAACAAGUGGCAAGCUCAACGAUGGUGGGGUGAGAAUUAUGACCGAAUCAUGGAACUAUACAAUGUCCAGAGAUUCAACAGGCAGGCUCUUAACACUCCUCCAAGGUCUGAGGACGAGAGAGAUUCUUCUUACUCACGAAUGGGAUCAGCUAGGGAAAGUCCCAUGGCUCAUUCAUCAAUUAAAGAAUGGACACCGAGAAGCCACUACAAGCCAUCUGGGAGCAGACAGUAUUAUCCUUCUGACUCUUUGGAUCAUGGUGGUGGUCAUCACUAUAAUGCUGGAUCAAGUGCUUAUGGUAUGGGUGGCCACAGGGGAGAUGGAUCAUCUCUGGAGGCAUCACGGACAACAACCUCUUCUCGAGACGAGGCUUCAGUUUCAGUGAGCAAUGCUAGCGACCUGGAGACAGAAUGGGUUGAACAAGAUGAACCUGGAGUCUAUAUUACCAUUCGGCAGCUUGCUGAUGGCACUAGGGAGCUUCGACGUGUUAGAUUCAGCCGCGAAAGGUUCGGGGAAGUGAAUGCAAAAACAUGGUGGGAAGAAAACAGGGAAAGAAUACAAGCUCAAUACCUUUAAAUUUUGAUGUCAUUAACCAACACUUUCUGGAGUAUUGAUAGAAAAGGAUCGAAGGUGCAUCUGGAUAUCUCAAAGAGCUGGAUAUAAAACCAUUUGUUAGUACGGAAUCUUCACAGAGGACUGAAACAGCCACCACUAAACUGAGUUCUACAUUUUUUGGUCUAAAACUACAGGCUUGGAUCUCUCACAGGGAACAUAAUAAGAAUUUUCGGACCAGGCUUUCUUCUGAGAGAUCACUCGAGAAGAGAAGAGGAAACCAUGAGAUUUUUAUUUUUCAAGAAGUACAGACAAAUUUGACUUAGAGAUGCCGGUUGUUUAUGCUGGUUGGUUGAAAGCGAAACAUGAUAAUUUUAUUUUGUCUAACGUCAGAAACAACUGAUGAAUUCAAUUAUUGGGAAAAUAUUUUAAAAUCAAUGUGCUAGUAGUCACCAAAAUAGUUGUCAAAUGGAAAUUUCUAUAGUUGGACUACAUUUUGAAGUACGGUAAGACCACUUCAUAAAUGAGUAAUAUUGUCCCAAUGAAAAACAUUAAUCCAUAAAAUAAGUAUAUUCUAUUGUUGUUUAUGGACAACUUUACUAAUUUUUGGAAUUUUAUUACCAAUAAUGGAUUAUGUUAUUAAUUUCACCAUGAAAUUGGUCUUUUUGUCAAAAAUUAGUUUAAUAAGUCACGACUCACAUAGUUAACAAUGUAGUAAUGUUUAAUUGGUAGAUAUAUAUUUUUUUUUUAUUUGAACUCAUCUAUGUAAAUAAUUACAUAUCUAUAUUUAAUUUAUAUCAAUAUUUUAAACAAUAAUAAUAUGUUACUACCAUAUCAUUUCAUAGAUACUUAGUGCCUAUAGUACUACUCAUACAGUUUUGAGUAAUGCUAGAGAUAAGACUUGAAAGAUCAUCCAAGGACUAGGACUAAAAACUAAUCAAGAAGGCUUGACUCAAUCAAUUGCUCAAGAGAAGAUGAGAUUUUCGCUUACUGAAUUCAUUAAAAAAAUAAAAAAUAAAAAAAAUCCCGGAUCAUCUUUUCAUGGAAAUAGAAGGGCAAAAAUGAAAGAGCUAAGGGGUCAGGAAGAGUCCACACAACUUUUGAGUUCAAGACCUCCAAUUCAAAUCUGAUCGACAAGAUCCAAUCACAGAGAAACAAAUCUAUGUAGUUGUUUAUCAAGUUUACAUGUAUCAAUAAUAAUAUAUGAACAAUUGAUAAGCAUUAUUCCACCAACCAACAAAAUAAAAAAAAAAAUAAAAAAAAGUGCAUAUCUUAUACACAUUUUUCAACCCGUGUGGUACCGACCCCUUGGCCCUUUUCAUUAUGCUUGACACUAAAAAAAUUUACUUCAGCAAUAUAAUUUAAAACAAAACUCUUGAAAUUUUUUUAAUAUUAUUAUAUUUUAGUUUAAAUGCUGGACUUGGUGAGGGGCCUUCAUGGCUUUUCUCCGGCUUUACGUGAUGUUGUAAGCCUCCCAUUUCGAAAUGAAUCUAAAUAAAAAUAAAAUAAAAUAAAAUCUAAAAAACUACAAACAAGUCGAAUCAAGUAAACAGCAUGCAUUUUAUUAGACUGUAACCGGAUCUUUAAAGCACAUAUUAAAACCAGUCAUCGUCACAUAGCUUAGGUACAAAACAACCCAUAUUAAAACAAACUAGGGAUUACAUCCACAGUAAGACUUAGCUUAAAGCAUGCUGCUAUCAUAGGGUAACAUAGAAAUAUCUAAAUAGCUUAAAAGCAUGCUGCUACUAUUAUAGGACAACAUCGUAACAUAGAAAAAUAUCCAAAUAGCUUAAAGCAUGCUGAUACUAUCGAUA